rfam:Schistosoma mattheei strain Denwood, Zambia genome assembly, scaffold: SMTD_scaffold0013075
GCCAGCGACCAUACCACGUUGAAAGCACCACUUCUCGUCCGAUCACCACAGUUAAGCAACGUUGAGCCCGGUCAGUACUUGCAUGAGUGACCGGCUGAGAAUACCGGGUGUCGCAGGCU